rnacentral:rRNA from 1 species
AGGCAAUAGAUACCCAGGUAGUCCACGCCCUAAACGAUGUCUACUAGUUGUUGGUGGAGUAAAAUACCAUGAGUAAACGCAGCUAACGCGUGAAGUAGACCGCCUGGGGAGUACGGUCGCAAGAUUAAAACUCAAAGGAAUUGACGGGGGGCGUCGCACAAGCGGUGGAUUAUGUGGAUUAAUUCGAUGCAACGCGAAAACCUUACCUGGCCUUGACAUGCCACUAACGAAGCAGAGAUGCAUUAGGUGCCCGUAAGGGAAAGUGGACACAGGUGCCGCAUGGCUGUCGUCAGCUCGUGUCGUGAGAUGUUGGGUUAAGUUCCCGCAACGAGCGCAACCCUUGCCAUUAAUUGCCAUCGUUUAGUUGGGCACUUUAAUGGGACUGCCGGUGACAAACCGGAGGAAGGUGGGGAUGACGUCAAGUCCUCAUGGCCCUUAUGGCCA